GUAUCUGGGAGUAGAGCUGCCUCUAGGUGUUGUCAGCUGCUUACUUUUAAAGAAUUCACAAUGCAAAAGCGGUUGGAUCUCUGUGAGUUCAAGGCCAGCCUUGUCUACAUAGCUAGCUCCAAACCAGCCAAAGCUGCAUGUAACCCAGACAGGCGUGGCUCAUCCAUGCUUCUGGCUCCACCUCGUCUGAGAAGAUUUCCCACCUUCUGACUCAUUAGCUAAUGUAUCCAUCUCAUCCAGGACUUUGAACUUCUGAGGAUAAAAACAGUAACUGUUCGUUUUGCAUCUGCUGAAAUGGAAUGACUUCACUAGAGACCUGAAGUAGUCUGGUGAGGUGGGCUCUGCCCUCUGCAGCACACAUGGCUUGUCUUCUAGACUCCAGCUAGCCCCACCACACUGUUACUGCUGUUCUUGGUGGUCUUGCCAUAGUACUCCAAUCUCCCAAAAGGGUGGAGUACCUUGUUGCAUCUAGGUCGCACCUUCACCAGUGGCUUUUUCUGGCCUCCCACAAUGCCAAGCUUCAGUUGUUCUCCAUGACUCCUUCAUGCCUUCAAAACCAGCACCACCUGGGUGACUCUUAUUCUACCAAGUUUGCUGCCAACAUGAGCUACAACCUUGGGCACUUCUGGAGCACAGCUUCUGCAUACUGAUCCCAAGGAAACACUUCCCAGAUCUCACUUCAAGGAUCCUGGUCUCUUCUUAAUCACAACUUAUUCUUCCUCCCCAGCUGACAACCAGCAUCCAUUGUUCCAGCAAAGAAAAGGUUUUACUUCAGUGAUUCUGGCUCCAGGUGACCAGACACAACAAACACGUCACACAAAAAGGCCCAGUAGGGUCUUUGCUUUCCUCUGAAACUUCCCAAGCCAGGCCUCCAGCAGCAGCAGCAGCGCUCUCAUCAGUGACCUCAGAACGGCUUGCUUACUGGAACCUGAGCACAAUGGGACUGCACUGGUUCUAAUAGGCAAGUGCUGCACUUUGGAUUUUAACUGUCUCCCACUAGCUAAAAGGCUCACGUGUUAGCAGUUUACUUUUCCCUGGUGCUAUUAGAAUUGUUAACAGAGUCCAUGACUUCUAGGACAAUACUAUAGCCUCAAUCAAGAUUAUAAUAGUUAAAUUUGUUGAAACUGCUAUGGGGGAAAACAAUCUCUGAGGCAAACUUGAGAUUACUAACAAUGGGUGGUGAGGGAAGGAUUUUUUUUUAAUAUUUAAAAAUCCUUUCAAAUUUUAGAAUUGUUUUCCCUGUUAUCUCUUCCCAGAGACAAAAACCUUAAGACAACCUUGAAUAUCUUCACAAGAAAACCAAGAGCUCUUCUGCUCCACCAAGAUUAGGCUGUUAAGGCAACCUCAAACUAUUCCUUGAAUGUCUGCAUAACCAGGUUACAGACACCAAAAGGCAAUUUGCCAUAUCAUAACAAGAGGACUGUCACAGUGAUACAUUUGGGGGAAAAGGAGUCACCGAAUCAGGCUUACUGGGAACCUAUCUUCCAGGGAUUGAAGUCAGAGACAAAUGAGUAGGGGAACCAAGAUGAACGUUUCUUCAUAAAAUGGAGUUUCUUCGGCCAUCACAGAAUGCAAUGAAAACCUUAAGAGGUGGUGCCUAGUUGGAGCAAAUUGGGUGAUUAGAAGCAUGUCCUUGAAGGGACUACUAGGGCCUCAUUCCCCUCCUUUCCCUGUCUUUGCUAAAAUGAGAUGACCAGCUUCCCUUUUUAGCUCCUAUCAGAAUAGUACGCCUCCCCACAGGCCUAAACCAUGGGGUGACACCUACAAAGCUGUAAGCUAAAAGAAACUUUCUUCUUUUCAAAUGAUUAGCUCAAGUCUUUUAUUAUAGUAACUGAAAGCUAGCUAAGAAAAUCAUGUCUUCUGAGGCUAACACUAUGCUUAAGAUCUAAAGCCAAACCUUCAGAUAUAAAAGUGAAACUAUUACCAAGAUCUCACACUGGCCUCCUUUGAGAUCACCAUCAGAUGAACUAGACAAGACACCUGGUCAUAUAGAAAAUAGGUAAACUUUAUUGCAGAGUAACAUGAAACACUUUCAAGGGUGAGGGAAACUGAUAAGGAUAGGGGCCAUUGUAGAGGAAAAUACUCUUAAAGGUGAGCGUGGAUGAUGGCCAGGGUGGACACUGAGCAGGAGUGAGAGUAGACAUGGUCCAUUUAGCCUCCCUGCAGGUCUCUGGAACAGAGAGUUCUCCUAAUGCCUGUCCUCCCUCCCAGUGAUUGACAGCCUCCUCGUAAAAAUCCCAGAAACCUUCUGACAGUUCAAGAAGUUAUGUACCCACCCAGAGUCAGAGAGAGAGUUCAAAGUUCAUUCUUUUGACCAAAAUCAUGUAACACAAUAGAACAAGUAAAGAAAACAAAAAGGAAGUAAAAAUAGCCAUGUUUUACUAGGCAGAACCUGGGUCUAACUGAGCCUUUCCAUUCCCGCCCUCCUCUUCCACACAGGGUUUCCUAUGGCAUUUUGAAUUCCAAUGAAGAACAAUUGUUUCCCCUUCCUUUGCCUAUCAUGUUACCAGGACCACAGGGGGUGGGGCCUUAAGGGAACUGAGAGAGGAAGGUCCAUCCUCUAUGCCCUCCAUGCCUGUUCAUAUUAAAACCUCCUUCUGAAAAAGC